CUGCAUGGCUGUCGUCAGCUCGUGUCGUGAGAUGUUCGGUUAAGUCCGCUAACGAGCGCAACCCUCGCUGUGUGUUACAAGUGUCACACGGAACUGCCGGUCAUAAACCGGAGGAAGGUGGGGAUGACGUCAAGUCAGCAUGGCCUUUAUAUCCUGGGCUACACACACGCUACAAUGGGAAGGGACAAUAGGUUGCGAAGCCGCGAGGUGGAGCCAAUCCAGCAAAACUUCCCUCAGUUCAGAUUGCAGGCUGCAACUCGCCUGCAUGAAGUUGGAGUUGCUAGUAAACGCAGGUCAGCCAUACUGCGUUGAAUACGUUCCCGGGGCUU
rnacentral:rRNA from 1 species